rnacentral:rRNA from 1 species
AGUGAACGCUGGCGGUAUGCCUAACACAUGCAAGUCGAACGGCAGCACAGUAAGAGCUUGCUCUUACGGGUGGCGAGUGGCGGACGGGUGAGGAAUACAUCGGAAUCUACUUUUUCGUGGGGGAUAACGUAGGGAAACUUACGCUAAUACCGCAUACGACCUACGGGUGAAAGCAGGGGAUCUUCGGACCUUGCGCGAUUGAAUGAGCCGAUGUCGGAUUAGCUAGUUGGCGGGGUAAAGGCCCACCAAGGCGACGAUCCGUAGCUGGUCUGAGAGGAUGAUCAGCCACACUGGAACUGAGACACGGUCCAGACUCCUACGGGAGGCAGCAGUGGGGAAUAUUGGACAAUGGGCGAAAGCCUGAUCCAGCCAUGCCGCGUGGGUGAAGAAGGCCUUCGGGUCGUAAAGCCCUUUUGUUGGGAAAGAAAAGCAGCAGGUUAAUCCCCCGCUGUUCUGACGGUACCCAAAGAAUAAGCACCGGCUAACUUCGUG